rnacentral:rRNA from 1 species
UACGUAGGGUGCAAGCGUUGUCCGGAAUUAUUGGGCGUAAAGAGCUCGUAGGCGGUCUGUUGCGUCGGCUGUGAAAACCCGGGGCUCAACUCCGGGCCUGCAGCCGAUACGGGCAGACUAGAGUUCGGCAGGGGAGACUGGAAUUCCUGGUGUAGCGGUGAAAUGCGCAGGUAUCAGGAGGAACACCGGUGGCGAAGGCGGUUCUCUGGGCAUUACCUGACGCUGAGGAGCGAAAGUGUGGGGAGCGAACAGG